rnacentral:rRNA from 1 species
CCGCGGGAUUAGAGUUUGAUCCUGGCUCAGAUUGAACGCUGGCGGCAGGCUUAACACAUGCAAGUCGAGCGGAUGAAGGUAGCUUGCUACUGGAUUCAGCGGCGGACGGGUGAGUAAUGCUUAGGAAUCUGCCUAUUAGUGGGGGACAACGUUCCGAAAGGAGCGCUAAUACCGCAUACGUCCUACGGGAGAAAGCAGGGGACCUUUGGGCCUUGCGCUAAUAGAUGAGCCUAAGUCGGAUUAGCUAGUUGGUAGGGUAAAGGCCUACCAAGGCGACGAUCUGUAGCGGGUCUGAGAGGAUGAUCCGCCACACUGGGACUGAGACACGGCCCAGACUCCUACGGGAGGCAGCAGUGGGGAAUAUUGGACAAUGGGGGGAACCCUGAUCCAGCCAUGCCGCGUGUGUGAAGAAGGCCUUUUGGUUGUAAAGCACUUUAAGCGAGGAGGAGGCUACCUAGAUUAAUACUUUAGGAUAGUGGACGUUACUCGCAGAAUAAGCACCGGCUAACUCUGUGCCAGCAGCCGCGGUAAUACAGAGGGUGCGAGCGUUAAUCGGAUUUACUGGGCGUAAAGCGUGCGUAGGCGGCCAAUUAAGUCAAAUGUGAAAUCCCCGAGCUUAACUUGGGAAUUGCAUUCGAUACUGGUUGGCUAGAGUAUGGGAGAGGAUGGUAGAAUUCCAGGUGUAGCGGUGAAAUGCGUAGAGAUCUGGAGGAAUACCGAUGGCGAAGGCAGCCAUCUGGCCUAAUACUGACGCUGAGGUACGAAAGCAUGGGGAGCAAACAGGAUUAGAUACCCUGGUAGUCCAUGCCGUAAACGAUGUCUACUAGCCGUUGGGGCCCUUGAGGCUUUAGUGGCGCAGCUAACGCGAUAAGUAGACCGCCUGGGGAGUACGGUCGCAAGACUAAAACUCAAAUGAAUUGA